rnacentral:lncRNA from 1 species
CCCAUAGCAUAUGGAAGUUUCCAGAUUAGGGGUCCAGUCAAAGCUGCAGCUGCCGGCCUCCACCACAGCCACAGCAAUAUGGGAUUUGAGCCACUUCUGCCACACAUACCACAGUCACAGCAACGCCGGAUCCUUAACUCACUGAACGAGGCCAGGGAUCGAACCCACGUCCUCAUGAAUACUAGUCAGGUUCGUUACUGCUGAGCCACCAUGGGAACUCCAGGCAUCAUCUUUUUCAUAGCCUAGUCUUUGGGAAAUAUACUGUGGAGGACGGCUGUAUACAGGGUAUAGCUUCUAAAUGCUCAUCAUGAACUAGACCUUGAGUUUUCUCCUGGAUCGAUGGAGGAGAGGAAGGACAAGGGCUGCUGUGGGUUCAGCACAUUGAUCCCCAGACUCAGAAGUCAGGGGCCACAUGUUUUUCAUCCUUUGCUAAUGGAGGGCCGUGUUUCCUUUCAUUCGGGACCUGCGUAAGUACUGUCUACUGGGCUUUGGAAGAAUAAGGUCACUUGUUUCCUGUCUUUUUUAGUGUGACAGACCGGACUUGCUUUGGACAAAGGGCAAAUGCAACUUCAAGACAUGGUAUGCAAUUUCCUUCCUCUCUCCAUCUUCCUUCCUUUCUUUGCUUCCUUCCUCCCUCCCUCCCUCCCUCUCUCUCUCUCUCUCUCUUUCUUUCUAUUCUUUCUUCUGGCCAUGCCCUCUGUAAUUCCUGGGCCAGGGAUCAAACCUGUGCCACAGCAGGGAUCCUUCCAGUUCCACCAGGGAGCUCCUACAGUUUACGUUCUGUGUCCUUUGUUGAGUAUCCCAAGGGCAUACUAUUCAUGGCUGUGACAUCGCGUGGUCGGAGGCCUGGUAGCUGACACAGUUCUUGCUGGAUUUCCCCUCCCAUCACACUUGGGCAGCAGGAUCCUGUGGUGCCAGGGAGUAUGAUUCGACUCAGGUGUAUCAAGCACCUGCUAUGUUCCAGGUCCUAUGAGAUGUGCUUGAGAUAAAGGAGUAUGUGAGACACAGACCCUGCCCAUAGGAACUGACAGCUCAGGGUGUGAAACUGACACGUGGUUACACAUGUGGUAAACAGUGUGCGAUGAAGGCAGAAGUCUGUACAGAGCCCAGAGCAGAGAGAUGCCAUCCUAUUGGGAUCUACUGGAGAGAUCUUCUCUCCUGGUCCCUGUCCUGUUUGGAGACUGGAUUCAAAAUUCUCAGUGUAAGGGGUGACUUCUGUUUGCUUCCUGUUUUUGUAAGCCCUUCCCAUUUUACAUUAAACAUUUUUUUUUAUUAUUUUAUUGGGUGUUCCUGUUGUGGCUCAGCGGUUAACAAACCCAACUAGUAUCUAGGAGGAUGCAGGUUCAACCCCUGGCCUUGCUCAGUGGGUUAAGAGUCCAGCGUUGCUGUGAGCUGUGGUGUAGGUCACAGACAUGGCUCGGAUCCCACGCUGCUGUGGCUGUGGCCAGCGGCUACAUCUCUGAUUCACCCCCUAACCUGGGAACCUCCACAUGCCACAAGUGCAGCCUAAAAAGAAAAAAACAAUUUUUUUAAAUUUUAUUUUUAUUUCUUUUGGCUACACCCAGGGAAAUUCAGAUUGCAGUGUCCAAGAUGAAAGCUUUAUUGGAAAAAAAGGCGUCCUGUUUCCAUAUUGUCUAUGGUUUGUUUUUCCAUUAUAAUGGCUGGAUUAAGUAGUCACCAUGGAGACCGUCUAGCUUACUGUGUCACUCAGCUUGGCUGCCAUAACUGGGUACCAUGGAUGGGGUGCCUUGAACAAUAGUACCUGUAUUUCCUCUCACUUCUGGAAGUUAGGCAUCUGAGGUCAAGAUGUUGCCUGGGCUGAUUCCUUCUGAGGCCUCUGCUUGGCUUAGACGUGGCCAUUGUUUUCCUAUUUCCUCAGUGGUCUUCCCUCUGUAACUGUGUCCUGAUCUUAGGAAGACACCCAUCCUAUUGGAUUAGUGCCCACCUGAAUGAGCUCAUUUCAACCUAACUGCUUCUUUAAGGAUCCUGUCUCCAAAUAUAGUCAUAGUCAGAACACAUCAAUUUUAGGGGACCCAGUUCAGCCCAUACUCCUAAUACAGCCUAAAAUAUUUACUAUCUCCUCUUCAAAGAAAGAUUUGCCCACUCGGGUCCAUGCUGUGGCUCAAUGAUUUGGUGUCGUCUGCCUGUCCUCUUUCUUCUCCCCUCCACCAGCACACGUCCACUUAGUUUUUUGGUUUAUUUUCUUGUUUUAGCUUUUUAGGGCUGCACAUAAGGCAUAUGGAAAUUCCCAGGCUGGCAGUCGACUUGGGGGCUGUAGCUGCCAGUCUACAGCACAGCCACAGCCACACAGGAUCUGAGCCGAAUCUGUGACCUGCACCACAGCUCAUGGCAACACUGGAUCCCCCACCCACUGAGGCCAGGGAUCGAACCUGCAUCCUCAUGGAUAUUAGCCGGGUUUGUUUCUGCUGCAUCACAAUGGGAACUCCCACAUCCAUCUGUCCAUCCAUCCAUCCAUCCAUCCAUGGUUUUUGGACACCAUGGCGUCCUCUGCUCCAAGAUUUGUUCACAGAGAAUGCAGUACUCUUGCCAGCAAUUCCUGUAGGUUGAUCUGGGCUUUCGUCUCUAUCCAUGGGUGAUGUUCCAGUGAUUUCUCAGUUCCACCAUCUCACUCUCAAACAUAGUUUCCUCUAGUCCCUUUUACUCAACUCCAGGUGCUGGUUGCACGUCCCACAGCGUGGAUAUUCGGGAGAAACCUUUGAAGGGCUUCUCAUUUGAUCAUAAUUGUAGAUCGAGAAAUGGAAUCUCACUCAUUAAGCUCUGAGAGAGCUCUAUAAGCAAUUUCAUUUUUAAAUGGCUCUUUGCUUAACAAAUUUACUCCACCUGGGAUACUUUAAAUGUUUUGGUGGCCCAUAGAAAUGUGACACAAUGUACUGCUGGGGCCUCUAAUCCAUCUCUAGGAACAGGGGGUUCUGUGACGCUCACCAUGGAGUCACUUAAGAAAGCUACUGCCUGGUGCAACGAGGAAUGCAUUUUUACCUUCUUGCAAAGUGCUGAAAUUGUGUACUUUAUGAUCAAGACAAUGGAGAGAUUAUGAAGCUGGUGCAAAUGACUCCCGCAGCCCCGCACCUUCUCCCCCGUUGUCAGGGAGCUGUGUUACUUUACACUUUUCCUCAUAGUGUUUCUUUCUCAAAAUUGAAGAUCACUGAUCUCUUUGGAAGCAAAGUGCUGGAGAAAAUAUACAGGAAGAGGCUUUUUGUUUUUUCUUCUUCCUGUGGUUCCAUUGCAUGUUGUGUGGUUUUAGAGGCACUUCCUUUGGUUGCUCCAAGCAGGGAGUUUCCUCAAAACCAGAGAGCUUGCUUUUGGAAGAGCUCUAAGAUCAUAAUCUGAGUGCUGCAAAAGCAUCUCCUGUUACUGCUCCCUUUUUGGUUCUUACUAUGGGGGUGAUGACCCUUCUCGCAGAACAGAGAGAAAUAUCAGAUAUUCAC